rnacentral:rRNA from 1 species
AUGGUUAUAAAAUGUGUAAUGUUUGGUUUCACAGUUUCCUUCCAGUACUUAAAUAUAUGGACUAUUAGCAUGAGCCAAAUAAUACAAUGUGUCAAUCAAUAUUCCAAAAUGUGGCUGUUGUUUAGAUCAAACAUAGAGAAAGGCCAUGUCCUGCAACACAACAACAAAUACUAUUUACAAGCGCAAGCAACAGAACAUCUACAUUUACAGGACGUGCCACCAAUAGCUCUGUUGCCUCUCACAGAUGCAUCGACGUCACAAUACAUCAAGCAACUUUCGUCCUCUUCACCGCAAGCAAGCGAACAACUUCAGUCCGAUCCGCUUACUACUCUGCCCUCUAUUGAUCACACUGAGCAUCAAGAUGUGUUGCUCGCAGCAGAGAAAAACCAAACACUGACAUCGACCCAUCCACUUGAAUUCUUAAGUGAACUUACACCCCACCGAUUAAAUUUUUUAUAA